rfam:Candidatus Beckwithbacteria bacterium RIFCSPHIGHO2_12_FTLL_47_17 rifcsphigho2_12_scaffold_17749, whole genome shotgun sequence.
GGAGGAGUCGCCUAAUGGUUUGGCACAGGUUUGCUAAACCUGCGUCCGAAAGGACUUGUGGGUUCGAGCCCCACCUCCUCCG